GCAAGUCGAACGGUGAAGGUGGAGCUUGCUCUGCUGGAUCAGUGGCGAACGGGUGAGUAACACGUGAGCAAUCUGCCCCGAACUCUGGGAUAACCACGGGAAACCGUGGCUAAUACUGGAUAUGUCGAGUGACCGCAUGGUCUGCUCGUGGAAAGAUUUUUCGGUUCGGGAUGAGCUCGCGGCCUAUCAGCUUGUUGGUGAGGUAAUGGCUCACCAAGGCGACGACGGGUAGCCGGCCUGAGAGGGUGACCGGCCACACUGGGACUGAGACACGGCCCAGACUCCUACGGGAGGCAGCAGUGGGGAAUAUUGCACAAUGGGCGCAAGCCUGAUGCAGCAACGCCGCGUGAGGGAUGACGGCCUUCGGGUUGUAAACCUCUUUUAGCAGGGAAGAAGCGAAAGUGACGGUACCUGCAGAAAAAGCACCGGCUAACUACGUGCCAGCAGCCGCGGUAAUACGUAGGGUGCAAGCGUUGUCCGGAAUUAUUGGGCGUAAAGAGCUCGUAGGCGGUCUGUCGCGUCUGCUGUGAAAUCCCGAGGCUCAACCUCGGGCCUGCAGUGGGUACGGGCAGACUAGAGUGCGGUAGGGGAGAAUGGAACUCCUGGUGUAGCGGUGGAAUGCGCAGAUAUCAGGAAGAACACCGAUGGCGAAGGCAGUUCUCUGGGCCGUAACUGACGCUGAGGAGCGAAAGCGUGGGGAGCGAACAGGAUUAGAUACCCUGGUAGUCCACGCCGUAAACGUUGGGCGCUAGAUGUGGGGACCAUUCCACGGUUUCCGUGUCGCAGCUAACGCAUUAAGCGCCCCGCCUGGGGAGUACGGCCGCAAGGCUAAAACUCAAAGGAAUUGACGGGGGCCCGCACAAGCGGCGGAGCAUGCGGAUUAAUUCGAUGCAACGCGAAGAACCUUACCAAGGCUUGACAUACACGAGAACGGGCCAGAAAUGGUCAACUCUUUGGACACUCGUGAACAGGUGGUGCAUGGUUGUCGUCAGCUCGUGUCGUGAGAUGUUGGGUUAAGUCCCGCAACGAGCGCAACCCUCGUUCUAUGUUGCCAGCACGUGAUGGUGGGAACUCAUAGGAGACUGCCGGGGUCAACUCGGAGGAAGGUGGGGAUGACGUCAAAUCAUCAUGCCCCUUAUGUCUUGGGCUUCACGCAUGCUACAAUGGCCGGUACAAAGGGCUGCGAUACCGUAAGGUGGAGCGAAUCCCUAAAAAGCCGGUCUCAGUUCGGAUUGAGGUCUGCAACUCGACCUCAUGAAGUCGGAGUCGCUAGUAAUCGCAGAUCAGCAACGCUGCGGUGAAUACGUUCCCGGGCCUUGUACAC
rnacentral:rRNA from 1 species